GGGAGGAGCUCAGCGCGUAGGCUGCAGACUCGCCCCACUCGAUGGGUCACGGGCCUGCGAGCGAUGCCGCGUAUGGGAGAGAUCAAGAGGGUGCUGGACUCGGCCUGAAGUAUUUAUUGAAUGUUGUCUCACUGCCCAUAGAGGGUGUAAGGCCCGUAAGGCCGGCGUUCAGAUUCCCUCGCUGGUCCCUCUCGAGAGUCGGGUUGCUUGGAAAUGCAGCCCUAAGUAGGUGGUAAACUCCAUCUAAGGCUAAAUAUUCCCACGAGACCGAUAGAUAACAAGUACCGCGAGGGAAAGUUGAAAAGAACUUUGAAAAGAGAGUUCAAAAGAGCGUGAAACUACCACGAGGUUAAAGCGAGUGAGCGUUCGUAUCCGAACGGCCGGAUUCAACCUCCCCAUCCGACUCUGAAAGCGGCGGAGGGUCGUAAUACGCAACUAACGGAUCUCCCUCGGGGCCUCGGACCUAAUCGUCCGAGUCUCGGGGGCUGACCGGCGUAUCCUCUCGUGCGCUCGGAAGGAGGGUGCUCUUCCGGCCGAAGUAGGGCGUCGCGGCCGUUUCUUGGGGGUGUCGAAGACACGAGGGUCUGGGAAACCGCUCCUUCUCGCCCCGGGAGAAACUCGUUUUCUCCCGGAUCGCGCGCUGAGCGGGGCCGCCUCGGUGAUCUGACGGCCCUCGGGACGGUGAAAUCACGACUGAAGCGGGCCUGUUGACGGGGUGGCGUCCUCUCCCUCCUCUCCUACUGGGGAAGAGGCGAAGUCGCCCCCGACUAAACG
rnacentral:rRNA from 1 species